rnacentral:rRNA from 1 species
AUGCAGCUCCUGAUUAUGGUGGACGUCUGGCGAAAAGGUCCGGGGAGGCAGCACCUUGCGGGGAUCACUGCCCCGGAGAAGGAGCCCCGGCGACGGAGGGAGGCAGAGACGGCGGAUCACGGCACCGUCAUUGGAUCCGGCAACGGAGGGAGGCAGGAGACAAUGGAUCACAGCCCCGUCGUUGGAUCCGGCGAUGGAGGGAGCCAGGAGACGACGGAUCACGGCCCCGCCAAUGGAUCCGGCGACGGAAGGAGGCAGGAGACAGCGGAUCACAGCCCCAUCGAUGAAUCCGGCGACAGAAGGAGGCAGGAGACGGCGGCGGAUCCGUCACCGGCUAGUCACGGCGCCGCAGGCUCCCUCGCUCCGGCUGCGGCCGUCGCUCGCUCGCCCAUGACGGCUGCCUCCGGCGGAAGAAGCCAGGUUGGGUUCGGGCUGGGUCGGGGGGAUUCUACGUACCAUAUAACUGGAAUUAACCGAUGCAAGUCGAAGAAGGAUUGGCCGGUGCUGCCGGCUGGCGUCAAGUUCGAUCCCACGGAUCAGGAGCUGAUCGAGCACCUUGAGGCCAAAGUUAGUGCUGACAGUGCGAGAUCUCACCCUCUCAUCGAUUUGUUCAUACCAACCAUCGACAGCUUGCACGGCAUAUGCUACACCCAUCCUGAGAAACUUCCAGGUAUCACACUGAGUGACCUAAGCACGCAUUUCUUCCAGCGCAAUUCCAGGGCGUUCAAAAGGGGCACGUGGACGCAUCGCAAGAUACAGUCGGAGUGCGGCAUGCACGCGAUGUGGCACAACACCGGCAAUACCUUGCCAGUGAUGGUCAAUGGCCGGAAGACGGGCAGCAAAAAGGUUCUGGUGCUACACACCAACAAGAACUUGGACCAGCUGAGGACCAACUGGGUGAUGCACCAGUACCAUCUCGGGGACCUGGAGCAAGAGAAGGAGCGGGAGCUAGUCCUCUGCAAGAUUUUCUACCAGACGAACACUAGGGCCAGGAGUAAAAAGAUUAUAAGUUAG